rnacentral:lncRNA from 1 species
GUCUUUUCCUGAACUCUGAGAUGCUGCCAGCUGAUUCUAUACCUAAAGUGUCUGCAGCAUCAGUCCCUCAGAUGACUUUACAACAACCUUAUGAAACUGGAAGGAAGUAACUGGGGCUCAGAGACACAGAGAUCAUACCUCUGAAGAGUUGAUGGAGCCAAUUAGAUGCCGAAAACAAACUUUAAACUUAAUUCCUGUGUGGAUUGAAGAUGCAACACCCACUGUAGUCUCAUGUGUUUGGACACUUGAUCUCCAACUGUUCGUGCUGCUAGGAAAAGUUUUGGAACCUUG